GAUGAACGCUGGCGGCGUGCCUAAUACAUGCAAGUCGAGCGAACGGACGAGAAGCUUGCUUUUCUGAUGUUAGCGGCGGACGGGUGAGUAACACGUGGAUAACCCACCUAUAAGACUGGGAUAACUUCGGGAGACCGGAGCUAAUACCGGAUAAUAUUUUGAACCGCAUGGUUCAAAAGUGAAAGACGGUCUUGCUGUCACUUAUAGAUGGAUCCGCGCUGCAUUAGCUAGUUGGUAAGGUAACGGCUUACCAAGGCAACGAUGCAUAGCCGACCUGAGAGGGUGAUCGGCCACACUGGAACUGAGACACGGUCCAGACUCCUACGGGAGGCAGCAGUAGGGAAUCUUCCGCAAUGGGCGAAAGCCUGACGGAGCAACGCCGCGUGAGUGAUGAAGGUCUUCGGAUCGUAAAACUCUGUUAUUAGGGAAGAACAUAUGUGUAAGUAACUGUGCACAUCUUGACGGUACCUAAUCAGAAAGCCACGGCUAACUACGUG
rnacentral:rRNA from 1 species